AUUGAACGCUGGCGGCAUGCCUUACACAUGUAAGUCGAACGGUAACGGGCCUUCGGGUGCCGACGAGUGGCGAACGGGUGAGUAAUGUAUCGGAACGUACCUUUCAGUGGGGGAUAACGUAGCGAAAGUUACGCUAAUACCGCAUAUUCUGUGAGCAGGAAAGCAGGGGAUCGCAAGACCUUGCGCUGAUUGAGCGGCCGAUAUCAGAUUAGCUAGUUGGUGAGGUAAAGGCUCACCAAGGCGACGAUCUGUAGCGGGUCUGAGAGGAUGAUCCGCCACACUGGAACUGAGACACGGUCCAGACUCCUACGGGAGGCAGCAGUGGGGAAUUUUGGACAAUGGGGGCAACCCUGAUCCAGCCAUGCCGCGUGAGUGAAGAAGGCCUUCGGGUUGUAAAGCUCUUUCGGCCGGGAAGAAAUCGUAUGGGUUAAUACCCUGUGCGGAUGACGGUACCGGCAUAAGAAGCACCGGCUAACUACGUGCUAGCAGCCGCGGUAACAC
rnacentral:rRNA from 1 species